UCAAGUUAGGUUACAAAUCCUUGGCAAGGAGGACACACCAUCUCUAGAAGAGACAAUUUCAUUGAUUUGAGCAGAAGAAAGCCGAAAGAGUGUUAUGCUUUAACCACAAACUGUGGAAGGGUCAGCCUCAAUAGCAAAAACAGAUCAUCAAGAGAAAGGAAAGAGUGAUUUGCCUAAAUACCCAGGGAGAGAAAACCAGUGGAAGGAGAACAAAGAUAAUCUCUGGUGCACCCAUUGCAAGAAACCAAGGCACACAAAAGAGAAAUGUUGGAAGUUGAAUGGUAAGCCACCAAGCCGAGAUUGGGGAAACCGUGGGGGGCAGCAGAGGCCUCAAGCACACAUGGCAGAGCAGAAAAAAACCGAAGAAAAUUCUGCAACAGGGGGGUUCAACAGUGAAGAAAUUGAGAAGCUAAGAAGUUUGUUAGGGUCUCUUGAGAAGCCUUCUGGAGCUUGUUCUUUGGCUCUUUCAGGAUCAGGGCACGAGGAGGAGGAUUGGACUUGCUAAGGAAAGAAAUGGCCUUUACUACCUUGAAUCAUCUCAAAUGGGUAGGAGUAAUUUGUCUUUAUCUUUUCUCAGUUCCUCAAAUAAAGAUACCAUUUGGUUGUAUCACCUACGCCUAGGUCAUCCAUCUUUUAGGGUUUUAAAAGUCAUGUUUCCUCAUUUGUUCCUAGGAUUAGAUAUUUUUGAGUUUCAUUGUGACAUUUGUGAAUUGGCAAAACACACUCGUGUAUCUUUUCCGAUUAGCAAUAAAAGAAGUUCUCAUCCUUUCCAUUU